rnacentral:rRNA from 1 species
UACGUAGGGUGCAAGCGUUUGUCCGGAAUUAUUGGGCGUAAAGAGCUCGUAGGCGGUUCGUCACGUCGGCUGUGAAAUCCCGAGGCUCAACCUCGGGUCUGCAGUCGAUACGGGCGGACUGGAGUACUGCAGGGGAGACUGGAAAUUCCUGGUGUAGCGGUGAAAUGCGCAGAUAUCAGGAGGAACACCGGUGGCGAAGGCGGGUCUCUGGGCAGUAACUGACGCUGGAGGAGCGAAAGCGUGGGGAGCGAACGGG